UACGGAGGGUGCGAGCGUUGUCCGGAAUCACUGGGCGUAAAGGGCGCGUAGGCGGCGCGGGUAGUCAUCGGUGAAAGUUCAGGGCUCAACUCUGAAUCGGCCGGUGAUACUCCCGUGCUCGAGCACUGUAGAGGCAGGUGGAAUUCCGGGUGUAGCGGUGGAAUGCGUAGAGAUCCGGAAGAACACCGGUGGCGAAGGCGGCCUGCUGGGCAGUGAGCUGACGCUGAUGCGCGACAGCGUGGGGAGCAAACAGG
rnacentral:rRNA from 1 species